rnacentral:lncRNA from 1 species
GCGGGGUUGGCAUGAAGAUUGAAGAGACCUGUAUACAUUGGAAAUUUAAUUUUGUGCUGUAUAAUUCAAAUCCCGGAUUACAAAUAAGAAACUACGGCUGAGAAAGGUGAAGUUACUUGCCAAAUGUCACGCAGUAAUUUACUCUUCAAUCCAGGAAAAUGAUUCAAGUCUUCCUCCUCCAAUCUCAUUUGCGUUCUUCACAGGUCAUGCUGCUAUUGUCAAUUAUAUUUGGAUUUAAUAAUUUUACAUUCCCAACAUUAUGCUGAGCAUUUUCAGAGAAGAGUCUACAUUUUCUGCUAGCGCUUCCCCCAGUGCUUUGCAUAGAGCACUUUUCAA